GUGUCAAGCAUGUGGCAGCAGAGCUUCCUGGGGAGGGGUUCUCAGAGCAAGUCAUUGCCGUUUACGAAGUAAGAUCUUUCUUUGACUCAGAUGGGAAUUGUAUUUCUCUUGGUUUCUUCCUAUUUCAUUUGAAUUAAGAUAUGCAAACCUUACCAUGGACAUUAUAUAAAAGUUACAGAAUUUCUUGGUGGGAAAAUGUGAGAGUUCAUGACCAACUAGGAACUGGCUCCAGAUGGUGUGCAUAGAUGAUACCUUCAGUUACAAACUGUAUGCAGAUAACAUUUUCCUCAGGAGAAAUGCUUACUGUUUGA
rnacentral:sRNA from 1 species